rnacentral:rRNA from 1 species
CAGGGAUUACCUUAGUAACGGCGAGUGAAGCGGUAAAAGCUCAAAUUUGAAAUCUUCGGAAUUGUAAUUUGACGGGUAGAAUUGCGAUUAACAAAAGUUCACUGGAACGUGACGCCACAGAGGGUGAUAGCCCCGUUAAUUAAACGCACUAUAAUUCUAUUCCUAAGAGUCGGGUUGUUUGGGAAUGCAGCUCAAAGUGGGUGGUAAAUUCCAUCUAAAGCUAAAUAUUGGCGAGAGACCGAUAGCGAACAAGUACAGUGAUGGAAAGAUGAAAAGAACUUUGAAAAGAGAGUGAAAUAGUACGUGAAAUUGUUGAAAGGGAAGGGAAAGGGGGAGAUAAUUCAAGACAAUACCUAGUGUUACUUGACCACAUCUUGCUCUUUUCACCCGUCUUGAAACACGGACCA